UGGUGUGAGUGCCAGCGAGUCAGUCGCAGACUGGAGUGCCCUGUGAGAGCAGGGGACGGACCGACAACACCAACUGGCAUAACCAAUCGCUCGUGCUCUCGACGCUUCGCCGUCUGUCUGUCUGUCCGAAUGUCCGUCCCGUCGUCGUUCGUUAUUCAUUUCUCUCGUUAUUCUUAUUAUUAUCAUACACGGCGUUACGGCGGACACGCGUUUUCGGUCCUCCUUCUGCAACGCGACGCGAAAAUAUUAAAAUUAUUCAAUCAACAUACGUGAAACUGUGAGAAACAACGAGAGAAAGAGAGAGAGAGAGAGAGAAAAAAAACGAGAAAGAGUGAGAGAGAGAGAGAGAGAGAGAGAGAGAGGGAUACAGAAGAAAGAAAGAGAAAGACAGAGACAGAGAAUGCUCUCUCCAGUGGACACUUCACAGCCUAACGGCAGGACACCCUGAUGGCUGGACCAUCAUCAUCCUCGUUACUCAUUCGUCACGUCACGAGGACUACGACAACAACAGGAGAAGGAAGAAUUACAGCAGGAAGAAAA